AUGGUGGCUCUUGCUGUCAAAGGCAAUGAGAGGCAGCCGUUCAGCAAGCUGAGUGCUGUGACCCCAGGCCUCGUGGGGCCGGACUCUGAUAUGACAGGCGAGCUCACUCUCUGGCAUCAAGUUCACCGGGGUGAGUCCGAGUCCGAGGGGAGAGGAUACUCAUGGUGGGUCAUUAGUUCCCACUCCCAUGGGGGGCUGCGUUUCUGGAGAAGCCAAUCAGCGUCGCCGCGGUCCCCGUUAGCAGCCAGUCACCCACCCAUUCUCCCCAACGCCGAGGAUGGGGUCCUGGCGGCCGGAACCCUCCUCCUGCUGCUCUCGGGGGCCCUGGCCCAGACCGAGACCCGGGCGGGCUCCCACUCCUUGAGGUAUUUCUACACCUCUGAGUCCCCGCCCGGCCGCGGGGAGCCCCGCUUCAUCUCCGUGGGCUACGUGGACGACACGCAGUGCCAGAGGUUCGACGGCGACGCUGAGAAUCCGAGAGAGGAGCGGCGGGCGCCGUGGGCUGAGCAGGAGGGGCCGGAGUAUUGGGACCUGCAGACGCGGAGAGUCAGGGCCAGGCACGGACUUUCCGAGUGAACCUGUGGACCCUGUGCGGCUACUACAACCAGAGCUGGGCGGGCUGCGGGACCCGCCCAGACCCUGGAUGCGGGAGAGCCCCACGCGCCUUUACUCGGUUCCAGUUUAGGCCGAAAUCCCCCCGCGUUGGUCUGGGCGGGGGCGGGGCUUGGUGGGCGGGGCUGACCGCGGGGGCGGGGCCGGGGUCGCGGCGGCUCAGAUCACGCAGCGCAAGUUGGAGGCGGUCGGUGAGGCGGAGAGGCUGGGAGCCUACCUGGAGGGCACGUGCGUGGAGUGGCUCUGCAGACACCUGGAGAAAGGGAAGGAGACGCUGCAGCGAGCGGACUCCCCAAAGACACAUGUGACCCACCACCCCAUCUCUGACCAUGAGGCCACCCUGAGGUGCUGGGCCCUGGGCUUCUACCCUGCGGAGAUCACACUGACCUGGCAGCGGGAUGGGGAGGACCAAACUCAGGACACCGAGUUUGUGGAGACCAGGCCAGCAGGGGAUGGAACCUUCCAGAAGUGGGCGGCUGUGGUGGUGCCUUCUGGAGAAGAGCAGAGAUACACGUGCUAUGUGCAGCACGAGGGGCUGCCGGAGCCCCUCACCCUGAGAUGGGAGCCGUCUUCCCAGCUCACCAUCCCCAUCAUGGGCAUCGUUGCUGGCCUGGCUGUCCUAGGAGCUGUGGUCACUGGAGCUGUGGUCAUUGCUGUGAUGUGUAGGAAAAAGAGUUCAGGUAGGGAAAGGUCUCCUAAAGAUUUCAAAGAGCUUAAUAUAUGUUCACUCAGCACAACACUGCUCCCCAGUGACUUCCAGUGUAACAGUUGUGUCAACGAGAUCCCCACAAGUAAAAGGACAAGUGUGAGGAAGACUGCACAGCACCACCCCAUAGCCCAGUGGGGUGCAAUGCACAGGCCACGGGCCCUCAUCUCACCUCCAGCUCAGGGGCUGCACCCCCCACCCCCCGUGGCUAAGCCCUGCGACCCAUCAGGCCAGUAA